AUGUGCUCUGCUAAGUGGAACUAUUUUGUUUACAUGCACCAACGCCCCAUUUGCAGAGAACCACGACGUAAUCAGUGCAAGAUACACAAAGGAUACAAAGUGAAAGGCUGUAACUUUGCAGAUGCAUCAACCCACCAUUCUACAUCAACGUGGUACCGGGAUCUUCACUUUAAUCUGCCAAAAUUCCAAGUUUUAGGAUGA
ensembl:lincRNA